AGAUGUGAAAACUGUUGGGCAGAGGCUAGAAGACUUACCAAAAGUCACACAGAGAGGAUCUGUUUUCUCAUAUCAUCACAUCUGAUGGAUAUGCUAAACUUCAUUCAAAUUCAAACAGGCACACCCUGAAUGACAGGGGGAAAUGGAAGGAGAAAAGAAAAACAAUGCUAAAAAGCCUAGAGAUGACCACAUAUGAAACGACCAUGUGUGUAAAGGAUUGCUGGAAAAUAAAUCAGGUACAACCUUUUCCGCUCCUUACCAAACAGUACCACCUUCUCCUUUGCCCUACUUCAACUCUGGAGAGAGCAGAAACCACAGCAAGAAAGCUGACAGGGAGGAAGAGAAGCAAGGAAAGGCACCCAGAGAAGAAGAUUAGUAGCACCAAAUCUGUGGAGCCAGAAGAUGUGGAUUCAAACUCCUGCUGCACAUCUUGUAUGCUUUUUGAUUUUGAAAGAGUUUUUUUUUUUUCCUUUUUGAGCCUUGGCUUCCAUAUAUACAAAAUGAAGUUACUAAUAAUAUCAACCUUAUAGGAGAUGGCCUGGAUUCUGCCAUGUAAAUCAAAGAAGAGAGGGCCUAACUCAGCUGCCUAGCCUGGAUCACCUGGAACCCAUUAGGAUACAGGAUCAUAAACACCUCUAUUUUCCCUUCAGAGAGAGACCAGAACCACUGGAGUUAAGCUACCUGCAUAAGAGUUGAGUGCGAUCAGCUGUACUUAAUCUUUAAAUGUCCAACCCACUGAUAACCUUUGGUUUGCUUUGAUAACUAUGAAAUAAAUUCUCACUGCAUUGGA